rnacentral:rRNA from 1 species
GACGAACGCUGGCGGCGUGCCUAAUACAUGCAAGUAGAACGCUGAAGGAGGAGCUUGCUCUUCUGGAUGAGUUGCGAACGGGUGAGUAACGCGUAGGUAACCUGCCUGGUAGCGGGGGAUAACUAUUGGAAACGAUAGCUAAUACCGCAUAACAGUAGAUGUUGCAUGACAUUUACUUAAAGGGUGCAAUUGCAUCACUACCAGAUGGACCUGCGUUGUAUUAGCUAGUUGGUGGGGUAACGGCUCACCAAGGCGACGAUACAUAGCCGACCUGAGAGGGGGAUCGGCCACACUGGGACUGAGACACGGCCCAGACUCCUACGGGAGGCAGCAGUAGGGAAUCUUCGGCAAUGGACGGAAGUCUGACCGAGCAACGCCGCGUGAGUGAAGAAGGUUUUCGGAUCGUAAAGCUCUGUUGUAAGAGAAGAACGAGUGUGAGAGUGGAAAGUUCACACUGUGACGGUAUCUUACCAGAAAGGGACGGCUAACUACGUG